rnacentral:rRNA from 1 species
UACGGAGGGCGCAAGCGUUGUUCGGAAUUACUGGGCGUAAAGGGCUCGUAGGCGGCCCACUAAGUCGGACGUGAAAUCCCUCGGCUCAACCGAGGAACUGCGUCUGAUACUGGUUGGCUUGAAUUCGGGAGAGGGAUGCGGAAUUCCAGGUGUAGCGGUGAAAUGCGUAGAUAUCAGGAGGAACACCAGUGGCGAAGGCGACUCUCUGGUCUGUAACUGACGCUGAGGCGCGAAAGCGUGGGGAGCGAACAGG